AUCUUGCUUCCAUAAGAUGUUUUUAGAAUUUGUUUAUAUUACAGAGUCAAAUGCUUUUUCCAAUCCUCGUGUAUUAUAUAUCUAUCCCUUGUGAUCUUAUUGCAGAGAGAUGUGAAGAAGCUUUUGGAGCUAUCUUGAAUGCUAUGAUAUUAAGGAAUUAGGGAUGGUGUUGAAAUCGUGGAGCUUUUGAUUCUAUCUUGCAUUAGAUAUGAGUGUGCGUCUCUUGUUCCCUUUUACUUUUCUUUCUAGAAAUGGCAGGUAGGCAGUGUUUUCAUUUUAUGUUACCCUAUAUAUCUUGAUAAAAUUCUUAUCCACUUUGUUUGUGCAGGAUUUAAUCAUGUUGCUAGUUAAGGUGAUACCAAUUUUGGAUGCUCAAAUGGAAGAGAAAAAAACAACCUAAAGAAAGGUCAGAAAUAUGGAAUCAUUUCACUAAGAUACUUGGUGGAGAAAGAGCAAAAUAUAAUUAUUGUGGGAGAACAUUUAAAGCUAUUUCUACUUCUGGAACUUUUACCAUGUGGAAGCAUUUAAAAGCUUGUUACGCUUAUAAGAACACUAUGGUUGAGGAUAAACAAGCAAUACUAACUCGAGAUAACAAUGAUGGUGGUAUAAUGGCUAUGGUGUUUGAUAAAGAAAAGUGUAGAAAAGCAUUGGUUAAGAUGAUUAUUAUUGAUGAAUUGCCUUUUUCCUUUGUGGAAGGUGUGGGUUUUAAGGAAUUUGUGCGGCAACUUUGUCCUAGAUUUGAGGUUCCUUCUCAAAGAACAAUUACUAGAGAUGUUCUCCUUCUCUACCAUGAAACAAAGAAAUCAUUGAUGAUUAAUUUUAUUAAUGAUAGGCAAAUGAUUUCUUUAGCCACCAAUUGUUGGACAUCAAUUAUAUGGUAGUUAUAGCACACUUUAUUGACAGAGGUUGGAAACUGCAUAAAAGGAUAUUGAGUUUUUCAGUAGUUCCAAAUCAUAAAGGGGAGACAAUUGGGAAGUUUAUUGAAAAGUGUUUGCUUGAUUGGGGUAUAGAGUGUGUGGGUACAAUUACUGUAGACAUGCAAACACAAAUGAUGCAACGAUUAUUUAUGUGAAAAACAAGUUGAAAAAUUGGAAACAUGAUGAUACUAUGAUUUUAAUUAGCUCUUAUCUGCAUGUACGUUGUUCAGCACUUAUGCGAACCCGAUUAGCAAGGUUGCAAUCGAACCCACAAGAUAUUGAAUCGAAUUCCAAGAGCGCCAAUAUGAUUAAGGUUUAUGAAUCUGACCCCAAAAUAGUGAACUAAGCAACCCAACAAGAACGGCGCUAUAGAGGACUUCUUGAUUACACGAUUGUAGAAAUCAAAAUCCGGAAUUGUAAGUUCGGCCCAAUAAAUUAUCGAACUAGAAAUCAAGGCAAUUACAUGAAUAUCUUGACCCCGUGAUUACCCAAUUUAUGAAAUAUCCAUUGAUUUGUGAACGCCACAAUAAAUUACUUUUUAGAAAAGUUCGAAUCGUCCAUUUAAGAACAAAGUUUAAAGCAAAGUUUCACGAG
rnacentral:lncRNA from 1 species